AUGGAGUACAGUAGAUGAAUGGUGGAUUGAAUGGUAAUGGGUAAAAAGAAAACUUCCAUGGAAGUUUCUAUGAACCCAAUAAUAUAGAGGUUCUGAAAUUCCCACUAAACUACCAAAACAGUAAUCAAUCCUUUUGUGUUCCAUAGAGGAACAUUAUCAAUGAAUGGUGGGAAGGUAUAACAUGCCAAGGAUGUAAUUAAAGCUUGAAGAAGUAUGAAAUUAUCCCAAUCCCAUUCAUUGUCUAUCUGCUUGAAAUCAUAGCCUUGUUGGUUUAUCCGGCGAUUACUUGUGAGGAAAAGCAUGUUAACGUAAGAGCCCCAAAAAGAAUGAACCAUUUCUCUAAGAGCACAAAUAAUGAGAAUAUGGAGACACCAAUCAAUCUUGAAGGUGCCCUCCUCUUGAAUCUGCGAAUAUAUGACUUUUGCAAGGAGAGGCCCAUACAGCAGAUACUUGAAGAUUCCCAAGUUCUCCCAAGGCCAACC
rnacentral:misc_RNA from 1 species